AGGAGGUGGAGGUGGUGGUGAGCCGAGAUCGCACCCUUGCACUCCAGCCUAGGUAACAAGACUGUCUCCCAAAACAACAAAAAGGCAACUUCUAGUGGUCCAACCUAACAUAUAUCCAAGAAAAAUGAGUGUAUACGUCCAGCAAAAGGCUUAUAAAAGAUGACCAAUGCAUUUUAAUUCACAAUAGUCAUUAACUGACAAAAAGUCAAAUUUCUAACUUGGUAUAUUCAUACAGUAGAAAAUGACAAAGCAGUGAAAAAGAACUACUAUUACCGCAGGCAACAAGAAUGCAUCUCACAAAUAUAUCAAUGAGUGAAUAAAGUCUGACACAAAAGAAAUCAUGCUAUGUGAGUCCAUUUAUAUUCAAGCCUAGGCAAAAUUAAUCAUAAUGAUAGAAGUCCAAAUAGCAGGCUCCAGGAGGGUAGAGGUGAGGAAAGCUGUAAGUUCUGACCAGAAGGAGGAACAAGGGGGCCUGCUGCGGUGUUGAAAAUGAAUUGUAUCUUGACCUGGAUGGUAGUUACAAAUGUGAGUGUGUGAGUAUGGCCAUGUGUGUGUGACAUGGGGGGACACAUGUAUAAAAAUUCAUCAAAUUCAGAUUUGUAUACUUUACUGUAUGUAUGUUACAUGGCUUAAUUUUUUUUUUUUAAAGCCAGGUCUGUUGUUGAAAGCUUUCCCUUGUUUUAUUCUUUUUUUUUUUUUUGAGACGGAGUUCACUCUUAUUGCCCAGGCUGGAGUGCAAUGGCACGAUCU
rnacentral:lncRNA from 10 species